rnacentral:rRNA from 1 species
GACGAACGCNGGCGGCGUGCUUAACACAUGCAAGUCGAACGAAGAGCGAUGGAAGCUUGCUUCUAUCAAUCUUAGUGGCGAACGGGUGAGUAACGCGUAAUCAACCUGCCCUUCAGAGGGGGACAACAGUUGGAAACGACUGCUAAUACCGCAUACGAUCUAAUCUCGGCAUCGAGGAUAGAUGAAAGGUGGCCUCUACAUGUAAGCUAUCACUGAAGGAGGGGAUUGCGUCUGAUUAGCUAGUUGGAGGGGUAACGGCCCACCAAGGCGAUGAUCAGUAGCCGGUCUGAGAGGAUGAACGGCCACAUUGGGACUGAGACACGGCCCAGACUCCUACGGGAGGCAGCAGUGGGGAAUCUUCCGCAAUGGACGAAAGUCUGACGGAGCAACGCCGCGUGAGUGAUGACGGCCUUCGGGUUGUAAAGNUCUGUUAAUCGGGACGAAAGNCCUUCUUGCGAAUAG